UCAGACGAUGCGUCAUGCAUAUCAAUAAGCGGAGGAAAAGAAACUAACAAGGAUUCCCUCAGUAACGGCGAGUGAAGCGGGAAGAGCUCAAAUUUGAAAUCUUGAAAGGUCACCUUUCACGAAUUGUAGUUUAAAGAAGUGUUUUCUGUUACGAUCGUAAUAUAAGUUCUUUGGAAUAGGACAUCACAGAGGGUGAGAAUCCCGUCUAUGAUUGCGAUUUGUAGCUUUGUGAUACACUUUCAAAGAGUCGGGUUGUUUGGGAAUGCAGCCCAAAACGGGAGGUAAAUUUCUUCUAAGGCUAAAUAUUGGCGAGAGAUCGAUAGCGAACAAGUACCGUGAGGGAAAGAUGAAAAGAACUUUGAAAAGAGAGUUAAAUAGUACGUGAAAUUGUCAAAAGGGAAGCGUUUAACACCAGUGUUGUUUUCUGAAAAUCAACCUCUGUUAGCUUUAUGCAUGUUUGUUUAGACCUAAUCAGCUAUCUUUCAUGUUCUAUUGUUUGCAGUGGUGCACUUUUCAGUUUACAGGUCAACAUCAGUUUUUUUUACCGUAAAAAAGUUAAAGAAAGGUAGCUCAUGGCUCCGGUCGUGAGUGUUAUAGUCUUUUUCCUAUGCGGUAGGAGAGACUGAGGUCUGCAGUGUAGGCUAUUAGGCUAGAUACUCAGGUGCUAUGUGAUACCAUUUCAUAAACAACUUGUUGAUUAUGUUUUGUCUAUUGCAUACUCGCUUGUACUAUCAUACCUACGCUUAGGAUGUUGACUGAUAUGUAGUCGUA
rnacentral:rRNA from 1 species